GGCGAGCCGAGGGCCGGGUGGGUGCGCCCCGGGUGGGUGCGCCCCGGGUGGCCGAGCAGCCUGCUGAACUCUGCCGACGUGCUCCGUCCCAUUUCGAAACGCCGAGAAAUCCCCUUUUCUCCACCCCCACCGCACGAUCAGGAACCGAAAUAGGCCCCCGAGUUGCACUGCACAGAAUUCAGAGGACUCGGGCUUCGUCUCGGGGGAGACAGAAGCUCGGCAAAGAUAAUGAUGUUCUGUGCAGAACCAGUGGGGGGAGAACAGCAUCUGCCUACGUAAAGAUUGUCAGCGAUUAUCAGCAAAAUUGAUUGUAUACCAUGAAAUAAAGAACACUGAAGCAGAUGAUAAUGGUUCUUUAUCUCAGAAUUAAAUGGACACAGAAUACAAUCCUUCGAAAGAAGUUUUAACUUAGGCUCUGUGAAAUCGGAAAGGAAGUCUGAGGAAGAAAGCAAAAAGGAAUAAUAACCAGAGAGGGUAAAACAGAGAAAAUCAUAUUCGAAGUGUGAAUUUUCAGUCCUUAAAUUGGAACAAACUCUAAAAUCAAUGUAACAGACACACGAAGUGGAUUUCAUGGUCAAUUCUAGGAAUUCCGGGUCUCCAGGCCAGUGUUGUCCGAGAGAAAUUUCUGCAGUGAUGGAUAUAUCCUUUAUCUACACUGUCCAAUCAGAAGCCCAUAGCUACAUGUGGCUGUUGCAUACUGAAAAUGGGGCUAAUCGAGGAAGAUAAAGAAUUUUUAGUUUCACUUUAAUACAUGGUCAAGAUGAGAAUCAAAAGAAAACUGGAAGUAGUGCAGAAAUAGUGCAGAAACACCCAGGAACAACUGUGAAAUGUCUGACUCAGUCACUGUAAACCACAUCCCCACCUCCCAACCCAUAAGAAGAUGGAAAAGGCUAAUAGGAAUUAACCUGUGAAACAGACAAAAAGAAAGGAACCAAAAAAGGGAAGAAAGGAAGGAGGAAAGCAAGAGAAGCAAAAACGCUUUGAAGACAGAGAAUGGUUCUCUGGGGGCUCCUGGGUGCCUCCGUUGGUUAAG